CCUACGGGUGGCAGCAGUGAGGAAUAUUGGUCAAUGGCCGAGAGGCUGAACCAGCCAAGUAGCGUGCGGGAUGAAUGUCCUAUGGAUUGUAAACCUCUUUUGUCAGGGGGCAACAUCCCCCACGUGUGGGUGUUGGCGAGUACCUGACGAAAAAGCGUCGGCUAACUCCGUGCCAGCAGCCGCGGUAAUACGGAGGAUGCGAGCGUUAUCCGGAUUUAUUGGGUUUAAAGGGGGCGUAGGCGGGUGAUCAAGUCAGCGGUAAAAUCGUGGAGCUCAACCCCAUCCAGCCGUUGAAACUGAUGAUCUUGAGUGGGCGAGAAGUAGGCGGAAUGCGUGGUGUAGCGGUGAAAUGCAUAGAUAUCACGCAGAACUCCGAUUGCGAAGGCAGCAUACCGGCGCCCGACUGACGCUGAAGCACGAAAGCGUGGGUAUCGAACAGGAUUAGAUACCCGUGUAGUC
rnacentral:rRNA from 1 species